UACGGAGGGUGCAAGCGUUAUCCGGAUUUACUGGGUUUAAAGGGUGCGUAGGUGGGUUGGUAAGUCAGCGGUGAAAUCUUCGAGCUUAACUCGGAAACUGCCAUUGAUACUAUCAAUCUUGAAUCAUCUGGAGGUGAGCGGAAUAUGUCAUGUAGCGGUGAAAUGCUUAGAUAUGGCAUAGAACACCGAUUGCGAAGGCAGCUCACUACGGAUGUAUUGACACUGAGGCACGAAAGCGUGGGGAUCAAACAGG
rnacentral:rRNA from 1 species